GUUGGUUUCUUCGAGCGUUACUGACAAAUUAGAGACCCCGAUGGUUGCCGCCGUUGGGGUUUCGUCU
rnacentral:sRNA from 1 species